rnacentral:rRNA from 1 species
AACGAACGCUGGCGGCAGGCCUAACACAUGCAAGUCGAGCGCCCUUUCGGGGGAGCGGCGGACGGGUGAGUAACGCGUGGGAAUAUGCCCUUCUCUACGGAAUAGCCUCGGGAAACUGAGAGUAAUACCGUAUACGCCCUGUGGGGGAAAGAUUUAUCGGGGAAGGAUUAGCCCGCGUUGGAUUAGGUAGUUGGUGGGGUAAUGGCCUACCAAGCCGACGAUCCAUAGCUGGUUUGAGAGGAUGAUCAGCCACACUGGGACUGAGACACGGCCCAGACUCCUACGGGAGGCAGCAGUGGGGAAUCUUAGACAAGGGGGGCAACCCUGACCUAGCCAUGCCGCGUGAGUGAUGAAGGCCUUAGGGUUGUAAAGCUCUUUCAGCUGGGAAGAUAAUGACGGUACCAGCAGAAGAAGCCCCGGCUAACUCCGUG